CGAUCCUGGCUUUCAGCCUUUCCAGAGCGGGUUUUGUUAGCUCAUCAGGCAGUUGGGCUUAGUUGAUGAGUUUGUAAUUAAUUAGGUUUUAUUUAAAAAUUGCUCUGUAGAGUUUUGUUUCUCAGUUUUCUAUAAAUGCGGUUAUGGGAACCUAGAUUUGAUUUUAGGCUUUCUCUAGCUGGGGUGUGCUGGUCUUCAGUCCUUUGUCUGCCCCCGCUGGAGCCAUGGAGAACAGAGAGGCUCUUCUCCAAAUAAACAGAAUUCUGGAGACUAAGCUCGAGGAUUCACAGCAAUAAGAAUUCCUGAGAAGCCAGUCAAAUGUUAAUCUGUAUUAAAGGUGAGGCAGCCACCAUUUCACACCAUAUUAAUCAUUGCUUUGUACACAUU
rnacentral:lncRNA from 12 species